GCGUGAUCGCUCCGAGGAGCCAAACAAUUUAAGCAAACGGGUAACAGCUGACAUCAUUGCUCAUGACAGGCCAACAGAGGCAUGAAAAUUGGAUUUCCAUCCUGUGGACUGAAGCAGAAAGUCUGAGCAGAGAGGUGUCAGACUGCCGGCCUCGACAGCCCUCCUUGUCCCUCUUCCUCCCCGAUGAGAUGCUUUCUGCUUCCUUCUGUUCUGAAGGGACAGUUUGGACCAGGGGACGCACUCCUUCAUCCAGGACAGCCUCUUCUGUUCUGUGUGCUCUGGCAGGGAGGGGAUUUUGUCAUCAGUAAUAAGUGGACCACACAUCAGUCAUGAAGGGCAACAAAGAAAAUGGGACAACAGUGACCUCUUGUGGACAACAACUCUAUCACUAAAGAAGAGUCAUAAAGCUUCCACUGAAAAAGAACACAGUUUAAAGUAUGCCUGAGUGGAAAAACCCCACAUCUGUUUUACUUGUCAUGCUUUAUUUGUUUUCUUUGGGUCUCAAAAUAAGAGUUGUUGCUCAAUGCUCAAUAUUCAGUGGCAUCAUUUCCUUACUUUACAAAAGUUAAUAGGUGCACUUGUUUUCGGCUGUUUGGUUAAAAGAAAACUACUCAGCCAUGUUCACCUCAUUUUCUUCCACAUGUACUGUACCUUCAUUGUUGGGACACACUGACACACUGUGAGUGAGAAGGUCCU